rnacentral:misc_RNA from 1 species
GUUGCUCGUUUCCGCCUGAUGCCCUACGUGGUAUUGGGUGGACGAUAGGCACGUUACGUGUUCCUCGCAUGCAUUGCCUUGUGGCAGGCUGUUGAGGCGCACGAAGCUGUUGCCCGUUCUCUCGGAUGCGGAAUGUCAUGCAUGGGCGCGGGGUCUCGGCCUCUGCUCGCCCAAGCUAUGCAUUUGUCCCUUGACACGAACGAUAGCCGCGGCCGUCUUGAUCCCAUCGCAGCCUACGUGCUCGACGGGGCUCAUGCGGUCGUUGGUGUCGUCGAGGAAUGCUACCUGGUUGAUCCUGCCA